rnacentral:rRNA from 1 species
AUUGAACGCUGGCGGCAGGCCUAACACAUGCAAGUCGAGCGGAUGAAGGGGGCUUGCUCCUGGAUUCAGCGGCGGACGGGUGAGUAAUGCGCAGGAAUCUACCUCGUAGUGGGGGAUAACGUCUCGAAAGGGGCGCUAAUACCGCAUACGUUCUGAGGAGGAAAGCAGGGGGACCUUCGGGCCUUGCGCUAUGAGAUGAGCUUGCGUCCGAUUAGCUAGUUGGUGGGGUAAAGGCCUACCAAGGCGACGAUCGGUAACUGGUCUGAGAGGAUGAUCAGUCACACUGGAACUGAGACACGGUCCAGACUCCUACGGGAGGCAGCAGUGGGGAAUAUUGGACAAUGGGGGCGAACCCUCGAUCCAGCCAUGCCGCGUGUGUGAAGAAGGCCUCGGUUGGUAAGUACGACUUAAGUACGGGUA